GACGAACGCUGGCGGCGUGCCUAAUACAUGCAAGUUGAGCGCUGAAGGUUGGUACUUGUACCCACUGGAUGAGCAGCGAACGGGUGAGUAACGCGUGGGGAAUCUGCUUUUAGUGGGGGGCAACAUUUGGAAACGAAUGCUAAUACCGCAUAAAAACUUUAAACACAAGUUUUCAGUUUGAAAUCUGCAAUUGCAUCACUCAAAGAUCAUCCCGCGGUGUAUUAGCUAGUUGGUGUGGUAAAGGCCCACCAAGGCGAUGAUACAUAGCCGACCUGGGAGGGUGAUCGGCCACAUUGGGACUGAGACACGGCCCAAAAUCCUACGGGAGGCAGCAGUAGGGAAUCUUCGGCAAUGGAGGAAAGUCUGACUGAGGAACGACGGGUGAGUGAAGAAGGGUUUCGGAUCGUAAAACUCUGUUGGUAGAGAAGAACGUUGGUGAGGGUGGAAAGCUCAUCAAGUGACGGUAACUACACAGAAAGGGACGGCUAACUACGUG
rnacentral:rRNA from 1 species